rnacentral:rRNA from 1 species
AUUGAACGCUGGCGGCAGGCUUAACACAUGCAAGUCGAGCGGAGAUGAGGUGCUUGCACCUUAUCUUAGCGGCGGACGGGUGAGUAAUGCUUAGGAAUCUGCCUAUUAGUGGGGGACAACAUUCCGAAAGGAAUGCUAAUACCGCAUACGCCCUACGGGGGAAAGCAGGGGAUCUUCGGACCUUGCGCUAAUAGAUGAGCCUAAGUCGGAUUAGCUAGUUGGUGGGGUAAAGGCCUACCAAGGCGACGAUCUGUAGCGGGUCCGAGAGGAUGAUCCGCCACAAGGGGACUGAGCAACGGCCCAGACUCCUACGGGAGGCAGCAGUGGGGAAUAUUGGACAAUGGGCGGAAGCCUGAUCCAGCCAUGCCGCGUGUGUGAAGAAGGCCUUUUGGUUGUAAAGCACUUUAAGCGAGGAGGAGGCUACCUGGAUUAAUACUCUAGGAUAGUGGACGUUACUCGCAGAAUAAGCACCGGCUAACUCUGUGCCAGCCGCCGCCGUAACAC